GUGCUUGCUUCGGCAGCACAUAUACUAAAAUUGGAAUGAUACAGAGAAGGUUAGCAUGGCCCCUGUGCAAGGAUGACAUGCAAAUUCGUGAAGCAUUCCAUAUUUAA
rnacentral:snRNA from 1 species